AGAAAAGUUAAAUAAACUAGAAAAACUUGUUUCUAUUUUUACAAUUGUCUAGAUAUUGCAUGAGAACUUUCAGUCCAUUACAUGUAUUUACAUAAUAUUUACACAUUUCACAAGAUCACCAUUUACAUUUUAUUGUACAGUUCAUAACAAUACAAAAUUUAAAUGUACCCGACAUUUUGAUAAAUGGGACUGAAAAUAGAGUAGAACAAAAUGAGCAGCAAUUACAAUUUCUGAAGUAAAAAGUUAGAAAAACUUUCUUUGUAGAAUGCUUCCAUUAAUGUCUGAGCAUUACAAU
rnacentral:lncRNA from 1 species